UACUUAUUUUUAUUUUGCCGCCGCGCGAGUUUGUGGAACCUAAGAAAGCCCUUAGAUUUUUCCGGAUGAAAGGCUAAUCGGAUUCCAAUGGUGGAAGGAAAGCUGAUACCCGAUAAUCGAAUACUAGAGCAGAAUCGAUACCGGCAAAGGAAUAAUUUACCUCCAGGCGGUUUACCAAAAGAGGAAAACAUCCGCCUUCAGAACUAACCGGAUUUUGAGAAUAUGGUUGCACUCCUCCUGGUUGCAAUUCAAACAAAUUUGAAAUUGAAAUUUAGUGUGCAAGACAACCAACAUCAGGUCCACAAAUGGCGGCGAAACAGCCUAUUUGGAACCGGAUGGUUUAUACUAAUGACACACUGGUGGUACAAGUACCAUGGUACAAGAAUCUUGAAAUGAGUACCAUACCAAUUAUUGUCUUUAUUAAAGAUAGUCUUGGAAUAAUUUUCUUGUUCUCUUGUACCAUGGUACAAGUACCACAGGUGUGUCCUUAGUAUUAC